GCGACAGAUGCUAAAAUUUCAAAGAACCCACGAAGAAGAAGGAAGUCACGUGAUUCAGAGAAAGGCUCGUAAUCAAGUGAUGGUAAAGCCACCAGAUAGUCUAAAAAGUGACAUUUGGGUUUGAAAAUGGAUUAGAAGUCGCUCUUAGCUAACUGAGGGGGAUGCUAACCGGCUAAUAAAGAUUGUAAACGCUGAAUCCUUGAGGAACCGUUUGGGCCGAAUCUUUCCUGACAUGGACGUGAGCAUAGCUGUGUCGCUGAUUCGGGGUCAGAUGGGCACCGUGGUGGAGCGAGCGGUCAACGUUGCCGUGGAGACCGUUUUGGCAGAGAUGCUUAAAGUGGUGGGAGCCAAAUUUGAGGAGCUGAAAACCCAGGUGAUGCUGAUGAAGAGAGACAUGGCGGCUCUGCAGAGGGAGAAGGCGCUGAAGGAGAAGGAGAAUGACAACAUUAGAGCCAAACUGCGAUACACGGAACUGAAGUUGAAGUACUACCGCCAGGGCGUGGAGGAGGAGUUGCAGCAGAGAGCCUCUUCCUCCACUCUGGUCCGAAUUUACCCACCUGGAUUUGCACGAGUGCAGGGGGGCGAGGUCCUUCCUACUGAGCCCUCCCCAUCCUGCUCGGCUCAGAGGACCCCGGAUUCAGUGCUGGUGAAGAGCAGUCAAGAAUGCAGUUCUUCACAGAGCACAUGCAGGCGUGCGAGCAGAGCGGGCUGCCCGUCAGAUACAACAUGUUUGGACUUGAUGGAAUUGCGGCACAACGCUCCUGCAGAACCGCUGGACAGCAGCGCUGAUUUCCUUGCGGAACGUGACGUCUCUCCCACGGGAGGUCCUAUUGAGAGAGAAUGGAGCAUCUCUGUAGGGUCGCAUGCAGACGGCGUGGACGCCAUGGUGACCACUCCCUCCAUCCAGAAUCUGGCCAAUGAUUCAGGUCCUCCUCCAACAGGCAGCUCGCCAUCUCCACCAGCUAACAGCUGGAGCACGCCCUCCACUGCUGCACAGGUGAAGCAGGAGCUCCAUCCACAGGAGGAGGAGGAGGAGGAAGUGAUCUGCAUCAAAGAGGAGCCAGAGGAGCAGGAGGUGAUGCAGCAGAGUUAUCCUCCACAGUCAGAGGCUCCACUGUUGAUGUCAGAGAGGAAACCUUCAACAAGUCAGAUGAACCUGAACGUCUCCGUCAGCUCUGGAGGAUCAAAUACCUACGCUGCUUCUCAGCUGGCUGCCUCCCUGCCCCCGGGGGCGUUGCCCCGCCAGGCGCCGCAGCCUUGGACCAAAGACCUCAGCUUCUACGACGAGUUCAAGCUCCGCAGGAACGAGCUACGGCGGCGAAACCUGACCCGUCAGAGAGAACUGGAGAAGGAGCUACCUCAGCCGCUGCUGGCAAAUCUGGUGCAAGAGCGCCGAGAGAAGACCAGGCUGAGGGUGGCCAGAUGGAGAGCCAAGAGGAAACUGCAGGCUUAUCUGAACCAGACUCAGGCUCAGGCUGGAGCUGCUGCUGCUUCUCCUUCAGGAUUUCCAGGUCAGCAGCUUUCAGCUCCUUCUGCUUCCAGGAACCAGCAGAGGCAGAACGCCGGCAGCUUCCUCUGCAACACGGCUGCCAACAACAUGCCUGUCAUCCUCCCCCUCAUCUCCGCCUCGUCCUCCCCCCUCAUCCUGCAAUGUCCCAGCAUGCUCCCAAACGACCAGAGCGUGCCUUCGUCAUCCUCCUCCUCUUCCUCUUCAUACACGCAGAUGUCGCUGGACUGCUGACCCGUCAGGAAGUUGCUGUCCUCCAGGAUCACGUCCUCCGUGUUCCAGAUGACGAUGCGCAGCUCGUACCUGGACAGAAAGGUUCUGGUGUGGUUCUCCGCCGACAGGUUCUACUCUGAAGGAACGUGGAGUCUCACCCUUUUGGUUUUCGAGGAGAAAUGUCGACUGGAGGUCCAGGAUGUGGCAGGUCCAUGGGGAACAUGUCGACCCACAUCUGGACCUGACCCUGCACGAAAGUGGAUACAAUUAUGAGCAGAAAGUCUUCCUGGUGGUUGGCACCUGAGUCUUGCUUGGUUCAGUACCUGAUCCAUGCCGGGCCGGGCCUUGUUGAACAGAGUUCUGGUCUCGAUGUGUUCUGGUACCAGUUUGCAGCCCACAGCUGGGAUUUCCGACCAGCGGUGCAGAAUCUUCAAAGACAGGUGUUCGUAGGACUCCACCGGCUGGUCUGAGGCAAACACACCGUAAAACUGAUUCUAAGGAAGAUCUGCGGACCGUUCUGGAUCGACACAGACCCAAAAGCGUCUUUACCUUCAUUCAUGUAGAGUGUUUUCCCGGUAAAGACUUUGUCUGCCACCGUGAUCCGUCCUGGACGGAAGUGAGGAGCGUCCAGACCGUUCUCCCUGCACAUCUUUGACAGCAGCUCCGACGGCUUCAGGCUGUCCCUCCAGGCGUUGUAGCCCUCUCUGACGGACAGAACCACAAACAUCCAGGUUCACUUUAGGUUCCUCCUGAUGUCCUUUAAGCCCCGAUGUCUGAGCUUACAGGCUGUACUCCGUGGGGAGUCCACAGGUGGCUCUGUGUCGGCUGUAGAACCGAUUCUCCAAGUCGAUGCGAGUCUCGCCGAUCAGGUCGUCGCCUCCCACUAGGUCAAAGUCGUAGAUCACCACCGACAGCAGAGACUCCUGAGGAAACGUGGCCUGCAUCUCAAAAGACCUGGAACACGGCUCAGUUUCAGGAGAAAUCCACUUCAAACGUUUAGUUUAGCGGUUCUUUACCUUCCAAAAACCGGGUUCAGCUGUUUAGGAAUGUAGUUGUCUCUGUCUUUGAUUUCGUUUUUACCGAGACGGAGAACGAUGUAAGGGUCUGCCUUCCCGUCUGGGUCGGCCGGGUGAAGGUUCGAAGCCUGCAAACAGCAGAUUUCAUGACAUCACAUCGAUUUAAAGUGAAGUCAGAAGCUGAGGGACUCACCGAGACGACGUAGACCCGUAUGAGGACUUGGACCGGACUGUUGGCUGGGAUUCCUCUGCUGACUCUGAAGAACCCUACGUCUGACGCCUCACCCCACUCCUCCGCCUCCUCGGUCAGUUUGUAGAGGCAGAACCGAGCCUGAGGAGCAGUACGUGAAGAAGCUUUAGAAUAUCCCAGAUCCAAAGGGACUCACAGAACCAGCUGGUCUCACCUUAAACUUCCCGACGAACCUGUCGUCGGACGAUCCCUCUUCCUCGUUGGCUUUCCCGCGGAAAAGCUCGUACGUGUUCACCCAGUCAUCAAACUGCCCGAAGUCGGCCUCAAGUUCCCUGUUGUAGAGCUGCACCCACAAUAAACACGACCAUCGUAGAUCCAGUUUCAGAGCCCGUGUCUGACCCACAUGUGUGCAGAAAUACCUUAAGCGUGGCCAGUUUAGCGCACAGACCAGAACCGGGCUCCACUUUUCCUUUCGGAUGCUUUUUCUUGUCUCCAUCCUGGCUGCUGACUGAUGGACCAACCAGACUGUUACUAAGAAACUCAUACAGAGUAGCUGGAUCACAUGGUUUUCAUCAAAAACGAACCAAAGUAACGGGCCAGAUUUGUAAUAUCUAGAGCCAGACCCAGUCCGUCCAUAGAUGUUUAUGAAAAGACCAAGCAGAAGAUCUCUACCCAGCAGGUCAGGAACUUCUCUGCCUUGUUUCUUACCCAAAGAGUCUACUCCAUCGUUGAGCAAGCUGCAGUACGGCGAAGCUGUGAAGCACAACGAGCGUCGGUCAGGAGAUUGAUCCUUAAGAACCGACCAAUCAUCAAUGCUUUCCCCUUAGAACUAAAACCUCCAGAGAGGCGGCGAUGGCAGUGGAGAGGUCAUUUUUGUACUACCACAUAAAGGCAACAAACAAAUGAAAUGAAUAGUCUGUUUUGGUCCUCACCAGCUGACUCAACAAGCCUCUGGCUACGUUCACACCAGGAAUAGAAACUAGAGUUCUAGCAACUUCUUUAGAAGAAAAAGUCAAUGUAAACGCAUAUGGGCAUUUUGGGCUUCUGCAUUAAAAAUAUUGAGUCCACGCAUCACUACCUACAUUUCUAAGCCUCUUUUUGGGCUCUACAAACAAAACGCAUGGCCAUUUGGUGCAACUUAAAAGCUAAACCUGGUUGACCAAUCAGGGACGUGACGUAUGGAUGGUUGAUGUCAUCUAUCUAUCAUGCCUCAAUAUCAACUUUUUGAAAAUUGAUCAUGAAAGAGAAAUUCAUAACUGUGGUUUGCGUCUGGACAGAAUUCUAUAACACUAAGUCCUUCAUAUAUCGGAAUAGAGCAACUGGAGCAACUGGAGCAAGAUUCACCAGAUUUACAUUUACAUGCCAAAGUAAAAUUAAUUAGCACUUCAUUAACUAUAAACAAGUAUCUCUGCAGUCUUAUAGCAUCAAAGUGCAGUUCCAGAAGUUUUACUCAAUUAAUGUUUAGAUUUCAAAAUUACGACUUUUAUAAGUCAGGUGGAGCAACAGAGUUAGACUAAAUAAAAUGUACAAUUUAAUUAUGUGGCCAAAUUGUUCCAAUAUAUUCCUGGAUUUUUAUUUUUGUUUCAAGUAUAGUCGAUUCUUUUUGUCUACGAGCGUUUGCAGUUUUCUGCUAAACGAAGGUGAGACUGAAAACGUUCCAAACAUUGGUUGAAUCACCUGAUUCCUGGCUUUAGUAUUUGACAUAUUCAUCUUUCAUACGUCCACCUGUGUGUACACCUUUUCUGCUUCUUUUAAACAUGGAGGUUCAAUAAAUCCCAACCGUUUCUGUCCUGAUCAUGAAAGUGGGAGGAGUUAUCAUCUCUUACAUUUCUCAAAGAUGUGCGGGAAAGGCGAGUCGUCCUUGAGCUUCUCCUGAAACACAAACAGAAGAUCUCAUGCUCACGUUUCAGAACCAACCUCUGUGAACACCACUCGGCGCACAGGACUACCUCUUUCUCCACGGAGGCGUAGUACUUGGACCACCAGUCGAUGACGUUCUCUGCAGAUUCGUCUGCGAUGGUUCGUUUGCGCCGCUUGGUGGAGCGAUGGAUGCUCUUCUUGCUGCUCUCCUGCAUGUCAAACACUCAUGAAGACUAAUCAUGUGCAGCGGGGGGGUCUUGCUGCGUGUGUGAAGAAUCACCCUUUUCCUCCGGGACUCCUCUGGCGGUGGGGGCGGAGCUUCACUCUCUACAGUGACGAGGAAAUCCUGGUUGGUUAGCGUCAUGACUGAACUGGUUUCUCCAUCAAACUCUGACAGUCCUGAAGGAGAAAAGAGAACGUUCCUUUCAUCAUUUCAUAACAUCAUGCAGUGGAAAAUUGCAACAUCACAUGACCCAAACGGAGAGGUUGACCCGUACAGGUGCUGCAGGUUUUGGGUUGUCUGGGUUUGUAAAAGGAGUCUUAGAGAGAACACCUCAAUGGAGGUUAUAAGAAUGGAAUGUAUGGAGCAAAAUUAGGGCCAAUUUUAUCUGAAACUCAAACAAAACAACUUGGAAAAAUUAUUGGUUUUUGGCAAAAAAAAAAAAAAAAAAGAAAUGUCAGAAACCUUUUGCUUCUCUAACAUAAACUUAAUUGUUUUCAGCUUCAAAUGUUCUGGUUUUUAGGUUUCGAAACUUGAAAUUUGAUUUUCAAAACUUUAUUUUCAGCUCCAAAUCUUGUGUUUGAUCAUUUGUAUUUGCCCCGCCUAAUCAGGGCCAAAAGUUUCGAAACUGAAAUUUUCAGAUUCAAAAUCGAAAAAAAGUAAAAAAAAGAUUUAAAGCUGAAAAAAAAGAUUUGAAAAUGAAAUUUUGAGUUUUGAAACCUAAAAAACAGAACAUUUGAAGCUGACAUCAGUUUAUUUUAGAGUAGCAAAAAGUUUCUGACAUUUUAAUUUUUUUUUUGGGCCAAACACCAGUAUUUUUUUCAAGUUACUUUAUUUGGGUUUCAAAUAAUAUUUAUCUCCAUAUGAAUGUACCAUUGAGUUUUAAAUCUUUGUAAAUGUUUGUGUUAAAAUAAAAAUAAACAUUUUUUAUCUAAACUGGCCUAAACGUUGGUGAGCAGUUUUACCACAAACCUUCGGGGUGCUGCGUCGCCGGCAUGGAACUGGAUCCAGCUCCCUGUGGGACCUCCGGGGGUUGGCGUGUCCUCACGGAGGACGGCGCGACCGGGGGCGGAGUGUAUUUGAAGGCUUUCAGGUUGUUGGUGAUGUGGUUUCCAACGAGAGUGCUGCGGCCAAACGCCCGCCAGUCGACAACCGUGAUGCUGAGAGGAGGAUGGAGGUGUUCGUUCUCCGGCAGCUCCUGCAGAGCAGAGGAGUCGGUGACGGUCCAAAGAGGACAAACCAGGAAGUUCCGGUUACAAAGUUUAAUGAAAGCUGAUCGGUUUGACGCCUUCAUCCAAACCAACUCAAAAACUUCAUGCACAAUGACAUUUGGAUUUUCUUUUUCUGCCUCUUUGACACGAUUCUAAGGAAAGACUUUCAUUGGACGGAAUCCAAAAGAAAAAAGAUUUUAAGCAAGAGCUACUCUGUAAAAUGUGAGAUAAAGCAUCUUUUAUGAGUAGCUGCUUCUAUUUGUGAG
ensembl:lncRNA